rnacentral:rRNA from 1 species
GAUGAACGCUGGCGGCGUGCCUAAUACAUGCAAGUCGAGCGAACAGACGAGGAGCUUGCUCCUCUGAUGUUAGCGGCGGACAGGUGAGUAACACGUGGAUAACCUACCUAUAAGACUGGGAUAACUUCGGGAAACCGGAGCUAAUACCGGAUAACAUGUUGAACCGCAUGGUUCAACAGUGAAAGACGGUCUUGCUGUCACUUAUAGAUGGAUCCGCGCCGCAUUAGCUAGUUGGUAAGGUAACGGCUUACCAAGGCAACGAUGCGUAGCCGACCUGAGAGGGUGAUCGGCCACACUGGAACUGAGACACGGUCCAGACUCCUACGGGAGGCAGCAGUAGGGAAUCUUCCGCAAUGGGCGAAAGCCUGACGGAGCAACGCCGCGUGAGUGAAGAAGGUCUUCGGAUCGUAAAACUCUGUUAUUAGGGAAGAACAAAUGUGUAAGUAACUAUGCACGUCUUGACGGUACCUAAUCAGAAAGCCACGGCUAACUACGUG